CACUAGGUUGGUCUCAAAUUCCUGGGCUCAAGUGACCCACCCAGAGCUGGCUGCACUCUGUUCCUGCACAGGAGAUGCCCAACCUGCUGCACCCGAAUCUCGAGGCUUGUCCUCAGCAGAUGGCAUUGCUGGUCAUCUGAUGACCUUUGCAAAGAUCAGCAGGCCUGGGUGUGGAGGGCCAGGGAGUCAGUCAGCUCCAGCAUCCUGAACGUGUUCCUCUGGGGAUACAAGAUGUGCAUCAUGGGCAGCGUGGUGGGUAGACUACGAAGAGAAUUCAAAUUGAAAAAGUCACAUUGAAGAGUGAUGCCAUUCUGCCACCUUGUGGUAAUUUCCUGUGGAUUUUUUUUUUUUUUCCAUGCUGUGGCCUGAAACCUAGGGGCUGCCAGGGACCACUGACUUUCUUGAAAAAGACAAAUGGUUAGUCCUGCACAAUGUCGGACUGAUGACCAUUCUAGUUUCUAUGAAGAACAGAUAAAUAGGGGGCCGAUCAUUAAGAUCAGUCUUGAAGGCCAGGUCCCAUUCUAGCUACUCGGGAGGCUGAGGCAAGAGGGUGUUAAGUUCAAGGUUGGCCCGGGGAACUUAGUGAGACCCUGUCUCAAAGUAAGAAACAAAAAGGACGGAACAUGUAGCUCAGUGGUAAAGUGUCUUUGGGUUUAAUUCCAAGUGCCCCCCACCAAAAAAAGAUUAGUCUUGGAGGUAUAUAAUGACUUCAGAUAGUCACUGAAUGAACAAUUGUUUAAUUAUUUCUCUGUAUCCAUGAAGCAGUGCUAGGCUCUGGGGGAAAAUACAAAUAUGGUCUCUGCCCUUAAUGAGCUUAAAAUAUGUGCCAGAGUAAGGACAGUUUAUACACAGACCUAAAUGAUAAGGAAAAUCCUAAGUAUGCAUCAUAAGCUCCCUGGGCAAAUGGAAGGAAGUCAGUCACAGCACUGGAACCGGAGAGCAGGCUGCUGAGGGAGAUGGCGUUGGCUCCCAGGGGUCACCAGAUACCCCAGAUGGGGAAAGGAGGCACACGAAAGGGUCACGUGGUUGAAAAACCACUGGACUCACAGCACAGGACAGCAGGACACACACUUUUCUGCUCGUGUGCGUCUACAAAGAAGUGAGCCUCCAUCCCAAAGUAUUUUAUUUAUGAAACGUGGCAUGUACCACGGAAGACACGGAAGAAGAGGAGAGUAAGGUGAUAACAGUAGGACUGUCUCCCUGGUGUUUCCUCCGGUGUCCCAUUGGAUUGUCGGCCACAUCCUGCCUUGAGGAUGGCUGCGCAGAGGGAGACGGAGGGACAAGGGUGACAGACGCUGCAGGGCACAGUGCUGCACAGGCCGCCAAAAAGUGGACCCAGGUGAGGUGUGGAUGUGAGGAAGGGACAGACCCAGAGGUGGAACUAGAGAAUUGCCAGGGGUUUAAAGAGAAAGACCUGUUCAAGGCCGUUCUGAGCGUAGACUUAUUUUAAGAUCUUCCUUUUGGGAGACGGUGGAGAAUCAUUCCCUGAGAAUCUAGGAGCACCGGCAGGUUUCUGGAGAAGGGCAUGAGUUCAUUUGGCAUAAGCUAAGUUCCGAGUCCCCGUGGAGUCUGCUGAUCUGUCCACAGGAAUCUGGAAAUUUAAAUUCAGAAAAGAAGCUGGGAACAGAGAAGGGUCAUGUGGGUCAGAGGUGAUGCCAAACUGUGGGAGCAAGUGAAGAGGCCCGGGAGAGAGCAUGAAAGAGGAAACCAGAGCAGGGACAGCCCCCCAAGGAUGCUGACACCGGGGUGUUGUGGCCUGAGAAACAGACUUUGAGAUGGAGAAUUGCAACAGGAGAUGUGAGGGGGCACAUCAGGACCAAGGCCUGCAGGGAGUGAAGGGUGCCGCGGGGUGGAGGGGGAAGUUGAGCUGGGGUGUGGCUCCAGUGGAGGCCUCCGCAGAUCCCACGAGGAGCUCUGAAUCCAGGAUGGCCUUUGGGGGGAGGCUAAGGGUGCUGGACUGGCUCUGUCGGGUUCCUACCAGCCGGGUCCUGGGCCGAGUUCAUCCCCUGCCUCCUCACUCAGAGCUGUCAUUUGGAUCUUGAAGUAGCACAACGGGCAUAUUUACACCAAGGAAAUUGCCCAACAUUACAGACCUGGACUUUCUUCCCCCAGAAAACUGUCUGUUGAAAUAUUUACCAGUGUACACAUUUACAUCCCUAAUCAGGUAAGAGGACUAACAAAUCCUGGGUGUGGGCUGCCCCUGGGACGGAUGUCGCCUUGGGCAGGGGAGCCCAUCGCUGAGGACCCUGCCUGGGGAAGAAGGCCGUGGAGAGCCAGCAGAGAGCAGUUCCUGCAUCUGGGGCAGUCGGUGCCUCGGCCAUGCCAGGGGAACAGGGAGAGCACCGCUUGGCACCCACCACAGUCCACCUUGUGCCCAUCUGCUCCAGACAGUAAGCUCCUCUCUUUUGCUGGGGACCAGGGGAGUAAUGUGGAUCUUCUCUGCUACCAUCUUGAAGUGACAGCAAGAGAGCGCCAUGACCUGCAGGAGGCACAGUUCCCCCCCCCCCCCUUGCUGCACUAUCCCAGUGGGGCUUCCCCCAUCAGGUAAGGGCAGGCUCUUUCCCCAUCUCCCUCCUUUACCACCUAUCCCAGGCCCCUCCCCCUCCCCUGCACCUCCGAUGCUCCAGGUAGCUCUCUAGUACCAUGACCAUGACCCUCAUCUCCAGGGAUGGAACAUCCUGGUCAUCAGGCCCUUCUCAGCCUGCAGCUUCACCUGUGGUCCAGUUACCAUCAGAACUGGGCAGGGACACUCAGAACCACCCUCACGGGCCUCCAGUGUGCAGGUA
rnacentral:lncRNA from 1 species